rnacentral:rRNA from 1 species
UGCCAGCAGCCGCGGUAAUACGGAGGGGGUUAGCGUUGUUCGGAAUUACUGGGCGUAAAGCGCGCGUAGGCGGACUAUUAAGUCAGGGGUGAAAUCCCGGGGCUCAACCCCGGAACUGCCCUUGAUACUGUUAGUCUUGAGAUCGAGAGAGGUGAGUGGAAUUCCAAGUGUAGAGGUGAAAUUCGUAGAUAUUUGGAGGAACACCAGUGGCGAAGGCGGCUCACUGGCUCGAUACUGACGCUAAGGUGCGAAAGCGUGGGGAGCAAACAGGAUUAGAUA